rnacentral:tmRNA from 1 species
GGGGGCGAAAUGGUUUCGACCGGACAGAGGAAGAGACAGUUGCAGGUGGAGGUUGACGGGUGGCCUCCUAAAACUCCCGUCAAAAACAAUAGUCGACAACUACGACUACGCACUGGCAGCCUAAGGCAGCCCCCUCCCGGAAUCGCCCGCCCGAAGCGGUUCCAAUGGGAGGGUCGAAAUUUCGGGCUGGUCGAAGCGCUCCGGGCCGUAGGGGCGUGAGACGAGAUCCAAAUCGGCCGGAUCGUGAAGGAUCCUGUUCGUCGGAGACGAUCGGUCCGUAAUCAAACGACGAAACUAAACCUGUAGACGCUGUCUUGGACCUGUUUCGGGACCCGGGUUCGAUUCCCGGCGCCUCCACCA